rnacentral:rRNA from 1 species
AUUGAACGCUGGCGGCAGGCCUAACACAUGCAAGUCGAACGGUAACAGGAAGAAGCUUGCUUCUUUGCUGACGAGUGGCGGACGGGUGAGUAAUGUCUGGGAAACUGCCUGAUGGAGGGGGAUAACUACUGGAAACGGUAGCUAAUACCGCAUAACGUCGCAAGACCAAAAAGGGGGACCUUCGGGCCUCUUGCCAUCGGAUGUGCCCAGAUGGGAUUAGCUAGUAGGUGGGGUAACGGCUCACCUAGGCGACGAUCCCUAGCUGGUCUGAGAGGAUGACCAGCCACACUGGAACUGAGACACGGUCCAGACUCCUACGGGAGGCAGCAGUGGGGAAUAUUGCACAAUGGGCGCAAGCCUGAUGCAGCCAUGCCGCGUGUAUGAAGAAGGCCUUCGGGUUGUAAAGUACUUUCAGCGGGGAGGAAGGGAGUAAAGUUAAUACCUUUGCGCAUUGACGUUACCCGCAGAAGAAGCACCGGCUAACUCCGUG